CGAAUGCUGACAUAAGUAACGAUAAAGCGGGUGAAAAGCCCGCUCGCCGGAAGACCAAGGGUUCCUGUCCAACGUUAAUCGGGGCAGGGUGAGUCGACCCCUAAGGCGAGGCCGAAAGGCGUAGUCGAUGGGAAACAGGUUAAUAUUCCUGUACUUGGUGUUACUGCGAAGGGGGGACGGAGAAGGCUAUGUUGGCCGGGCGACGGUUGUCCCGGUUUAAGCGUGUAGGCUGGUUUUCCAGGCAAAUCCGGAAAAUCAAGGCUGAGGCGUGAUGACGAGGCACUACGGUGCUGAAGCAACAAAUGCCCUGCUUCCAGGAAAAGCCUCUAAGCAUCAGGUAACAUCAAAUCGUACCCCAAACCGACACAGGUGGUCAGGUAGAGAAUACCAAGGCGCUUGAGAGAACUCGGGUGAAGGAACUAGGCAAAAUGGUGCCGUAACUUCGGGAGAAGGCACGCUGAUAUGUAGGUGAAGCGACUUGCUCGUGGAGCUGAAAUCAGUCGAAGAUACCAGCUGGCUGCAACUGUUUAUUAAAAACACAGCACUGUGCAAACACGAAAGUGGACGUAUACGGUGUGACGCCUGCCCGGUGCCGGAAGGUUAAUUGAUGGGGUCAGCGCAAGCGAAGCUCUUGAUCGAAGCCCCGGUAAACGGCGGCCGUAACUAUAACGGUCCUAAGGUAGCGAAAUUCCUUGUCGGGUAAGUUCCGACCUGCACGAAUGGCGUAAUGAUGGCCAGGCUGUCUCCACCCGAGACUCAGUGAAAUUGAACUCGCUGUGAAGAUGCAGUGUACCCGCGGCAAGACGGAAAGACCCCGUGAACCUUUACUAUAGCUUGACACUGAACAUUGAGCCUUGAUGUGUAGGAUAGGUGGGAGGCUUUGAAGUGUGGACGCCAGUCUGCAUGGAGCCGACCUUGAAAUACCACCCUUUAAUGUUUGAUGUUCUAACGUGGACCCGUGAUCCGGGUUGCGGACAGUGUCUGGUGGGUAGUUUGACUGGGGCGGUCUCCUCCUAAAGAGUAACGGAGGAGCACGAAGGUUGGCUAAUCCUGGUCGGACAUCAGGAGGUUAGUGCAAUGGCAUAAGCCAGCUUGACUGCGAGCGUGACGGCGCGAGCAGGUGCGAAAGCAGGUCAUAGUGAUCCGGUGGUUCUGAAUGGAAGGGCCAUCGCUCAACGGAUAAAAGGUACUCCGGGGAUAACAGGCUGAUACCGCCCAAGAGUUCAUAUCGACGGCGGUGUUUGGCACCUCGAUGUCGGCUCAUCACAUCCUGGGGCUGAAGUAGGUCCCAAGGGUAUGGCUGUUCGCCAUUUAAAGUGGUACGCGAGCUGGGUUUAGAACGUCGUGAGACAGUUCGGUCCCUAUCUGCCGUGGGCGCUGGAGAACUGAGGGGGGCUGCUCCUAGUACGAGAGGACCGGAGUGGACGCAUCACUGGUGUUCGGGUUGUCAUGCCAAUGGCACUGCCCGGUAGCUAAAUGCGGAAGAGAUAAGUGCUGAAAGCAUCUAAGCACGAAACUUGCCCCGAGAUGAGUUCUCCCUGACUCCUUGAGAGUCCUGAAGGAACGUUGAAGACGACGACGUUGAUAGGCCGGGUGUGUAAGCGCAGCGAUGCGU
rnacentral:rRNA from 1 species